UUGGCUGGCGCGGCACAUCUGUUAAACCAUAACGCAGGUGUCCUAAGGGGGGCUCAUGGAGAACAGAAAUCUCCAGUAGAACAAAAGGGUAAAAGUCCCCUUGAUUUUGAUUUUCAGUGUGAAUACAAACCAUGAAAGUGUGGCCUAUCGAUCCUUAGAGGAAGUAAAAGUCGUAACAAG
rnacentral:ncRNA from 1 species